GGAGCCACAGCGGCCCGGAGCCUGGGACUGGGUGUCGGGUGGGUAGGGGACACCCCCCUCCCCAACCCCGGGCAGGAUGUUCGUUGCCCCUGGCGUCGCAGGCUAGGCAUUGUUUUCUUAUACCACCUUCAUAGCCAAACCUUCCUGCCUAGUCCGGAGGUUCCCAGAGUCAGCUGCUGGCCUUGAGAAGCAGAAGUGACUUCCCCUCAGUCAGUGGAGGAAAAGUUCCUCUCUGCGCUCUGCGCUUCUGCGGUUUGAUGGAUGCUUUUCCUCAUUUUCGCCGCAAGCCUCACUAACCGGUAGAUGGGAGGAGGGAGGGAGGACUUGGGAUAAACGCAGACUUGCGGGCUGGCUGUGCAUUUUCCAGAGGAGGGCUAGCUUUCCCGAAUAGCAAUGGCAAUGCACAGCCUACUUAAGUGUGUGUGGGAAAUCUCCCCAGACACAAAUAGUUCUGAAAUCCUGAACUUUGCAGAUAGGUAGGCAGAGUUUGCAGCGGAUGCUGCAGCAUACAGCAUAGAAGGGAUGAAGGAAGAGCUCAGAGGUUUUGAGCUGCAGAAAACACACAUCCGGGAAAACGUUCCCAGACUCCCCUAGCAUCCCCAGAGGAUUUGCCUUUAUCCAUCUGCCAAGGAAUUGUAAACCUUUCUUUGCCCUAUUUUUUAUUUAUUUCUGUCUUCCACUUUGAACUUGUUUCCCAUGUUCGAAAGUUCAUCUUUUGGGUGUAUGACUUUGGAGUAAUUUUUUUCAGGUAAGAGCCCUGGUGUUAGCUCUGGAAUAGGGCCUCUUAGCAUAGAUCCCUGCGAAUACUACGUACAUGUGAGAUUAAAGUUGAUCCUGGUAAAGCAGUCAGUGUGGAUGUACACCCUUAAGAGUUACACACAAUACACCAGAGGCGACAGUAAAAGGUCUGGGAGCCGCCUACUAUUCAACCUACUGACUUACCCGGUAGGCUCACACAUUCAGGAAGCUUGCUUAGGUUUAAACCAAGCGACCACCGUGUAAGUGUAAUGCUUAUCUUCUUUCCUAAGCUACCAGCACCAAUGUUUGUACCCACAUCCACCUAUCUCUAAGCACUAUCUAUGUUUUUUCCUCCAACACGGACACAUGGAAGUUUAAAAGCUACAGGGACACUUCCUGUUAAAAGUGGAUGAUCAUUUAAAAUAACUUGUAGUAGUUUGUUUGCUUAUCUAUACUUUUUCAUAACGUGCAAAGAGAAUUAUAUUCUGAAUGUGAAUUUGGAUAAGAGAAAUGGCCCUCUUUUAAUACCACAAGUCAGAAAUCAUAUUGUGUCGCAAAAUAAUCACAUUUAGGAACCAGAUACAUUUGGAUUACACAUCGUCAUUGUAAGGUAGUUUGAAGUACACGACGAUAACCGCGGCGGCUCUUUGUAAUAGUGUGGAAAGUCCAAGUCACGAGGGCUAAGGACUGUGCCGAAUCUUGUAGUGAGUUUACCUCUCUGAAGUGCUCUGUGCUCCAGGUGCUACUACAGCUCUGAAAUCCAAGGGCUGUGCUCAAAUGGAAGCUUGGGACUCAGCACUCAAGAAGCUGACACAGGAGGGUCCUCAUUUCAAACCCAGUCUCCCGAACAUACCUGGUCUCAAAAUGAAUAAGCCCACCCCACUUUAUUUGUUGUGUGGUUCAUACUCUCGUAAGGGUCAUUGCCAUGUAAUAGUGCCUCUUUUGCUUUGAAGUUUGUUUUUGUGACAGAAGGGAAGACAGCAGAGUAUUACAUUUUCUCUAUUUAAUGGAAAUUAAAUAAAUAGUAUAUAAAGUUAAAGAUACUGCAAAAUUAGAUGAGCUAUUUUAAAUUAGGUUUAUUUGAAGAAUGUACAAUGAUUUAAAACAAUUAAAUGAAAUCAAAUGAGAGUAAGACUUUUUGGUUCUCCACACUCCAUCCUCCUCACAUAGUCUAUCCCAUGGCUAUUAGCAUUUUCUUAUGCAUCUUUCCAAACUACUCCAUGCAUUUGUAGGCCUAUGUGUCUGUGCCUAUGUAUCUGUGGCUAACUGUUGAGGCCCUUAACAUGUGCAAUGAAGGCUGGCUAGAGUUUUAUUGGCUUCAUACCUUCAAAUUUGCAUCAAACAUUUUUGACGCCCAGCGGAUUGACUGAGGUCCUCGUGCUGAGCACAUUAAGCUGCAGGGAUGGUGUGGUCACUGGUGGGCAGCAGUGGCUUACAGAGGCCUUUACUUCUUCUGUGGGGGUGAGAGGCAGGUGGGCUUUCUUCUAUUCUUCCUGGGAGCAGUCAGGAACAUUUUCAUUUACAUCUUGAGUCUCCUGCCACAUGACGUGGUUACUGUAAUGCAGCAAAGAUGAGAAUUUCUAAAAAGGCAUAGUCACUUUAUGUCAUUGUAAUUGAAUACAUCAGAGGAGGGGAGAUUUAUUGUGGCUCAUGGUUUCAGAGAUUUCAGCCCAUCAUCACCGUUGCUUUUCUGGGCCUCUAGUGAGUUCAUAUACACCAUAGCAAAGGGACAGAGAGGAGGAUAGCAGGUCACUUUAUGGUGGCCGGGAAGCAGAGGGAGGAGGAACUAAGGACAAGGCUUACAUUUCAAGGGCAUGUCCCUAGUGACUUUCUUCCUGCAAGCGGGCCUCAGAUCCUACUUAACACUUUGUCCCAACAAUCCCAUCAUGAUCCCUCACGACAGACAAAUCUACUGGUUAGAUCUCAGCCCUUGUGAUCCAAUUAUCUUUCCGGUGGCACCUCUGAACAUCAGACUCAGGACCGAACUUUCAGUACAUGAGGUUUUUUUCUUUUUGGAAGGUUUUAUAUUUCAACCAAAACACAUGUAGUAGAUGCAUCUGUGCUGUACUGAGGGGUGACAGUACUUACAUUGUCAGGGAUUCUUUUUAUUUGGUUUUGAAACACAUAUGUAGCAAAGAAAUUUCUUUUAUAUUAAAAUAUAUUAAGCUGGGUGGUGUUGUACUUGGGAGGCAGGUGGAUCUCUGGGUUUGCAUAUAUAUACAUAUGUGCAUAUACAUAUAUUUCUACCAUCCCUGCGAUUUGUCAAAUAUUAAAUUCUUUUCAAGUUGACUUAGAUUACUGGUUUUUAAUUGUUUUAAUGUGAAUUCUCUAUUAGCAUGAAUAUUACACUAAAAAUUCAUUCCUUUACCCUACCAGAAACCAGUCUUCCUUGUAUGUUAAUUAAAGGGAUAUUUUCAGUUAAUUUGCCCUUCCUAAUUUGAAAACAUGUGUACAGCCGAGAAAACAAUUUCCUUCUGCACUGAGUGAAACAAUUAUACUGUUUAUCUGUGCCCAGUUUCACAAGCCUUCUUAAUGUCAAUGUGGUUUUCUUCCUUCUAUUUAGGUGUUUCUUUUUAAUAUUAUGAGAAUUUAGCUAGAUUCUCUGUAAUCCAUUUACUUUUUUCUUGUAUGAUUAUUUUCUACAGAAUUGCCAUUGAUAAGUACUUCAUGUUUUGGUGUGUGUGUGUGUGUGUGUGUGUGUGUGUGUGUGUACAUACACUGUUAUAUUCAUUAAUCCGUCUUAAUUUCUUCUUUGUGGUGGUCUGACUAGAUAUGGCCCUCAUAGAGUUCUUGGCCUAAAGGGAAUAGUGCUAUUAGGAAGUGUAGCCUUGUUGAAGUAGGAGUGGCUUUGUUGGAGGAAGUGUGGCACUGUGGGGGGCUGGCUUUGAGCUCUCCUGUGCUCAAACUAUGCCCAGUGUAAAAAUCCAGUGUCCUGGCUACCUUUAGUUCCAAUUAAAUGUUUGCCUUUAUAAGAAUUGCUUUGGUACUGGUGUCUCUUCACAGCAAUAAAACCCUAAGACAUCCUUGAUACAUGAUUUAAGAUGAAAAGUUAGGAGAAUGCUAAUAUUAAUGUACAAAUAUUAAUGUACUAUUUUGUAUUUGAAUACAUUUCUAAUAAAUUAGAUUGCUUAUCUAGUAUUUGAUGCCAAUAUUCUAAUAUUUAAAAUAUCUUUUAUUUAAAAUUAAGGCCAAUAACUAUAUCUAUAAUAUUGUAGAAAUAGGAAACAGUGUAGCUUAUUCUUUAUAUUAGAUAGUGGGAAAUGAGAUGCAUAACUAUUUUGAAAACAGUUCAUUUUUGUUUCUAUUUUUGUCCAUUUUCUUUUAUUCCAAUUAAGUCUAUAUAACUAGGCAAGGAAGUGUAAUCAAUACCACAUUGACUGCACUGCCUGGUAUGUGGGGUGAAGCUAGGUACUAGAGUGAGGAUCUGAGACAUACUGCAGAGCAUCUAAAGGAAUGGCUAUUCUCUGCCUCAUUAAGCUGUUAUCAAGACCAAUCUUAACCUGGUCUGGUGUUGUGAGCCGCAACCUCAAAGAUGCACCUUGGGUACCACUUGACUCAUGACCAAGUUAUGACUCAGCAGAGAGGCAAAGGGGAUGGAAUUUACAUUACAUGCUGCCUAUCAUAGUUAAACACUAAACGAGCUUUCAUACAUUUCAUAUCCUCACGGUGAGUGUUCUGGUGUAAGGGAGGUACAGAGAGACAUAAUUCAAGGCAGAGUCGGGAUUCACAGCCAUGUUUACUUAAUACCUGGAACUGUGUUAUCGUGCAUUUCCUCAGAUGCAGAAAGUUCAUAACUCAACACUUUCUAGGCUAGAAACAAGCUGAGUGCCUGAAGCAUCCGAGUCUUGGGCUUGUGAGGUGAAUUGUUCCUUCUCUACCUUCCACCCCAGCUUAGAACAUCUAGAGCUCCAUGGCCCAAGAGGGGAUUAACAGUCCUUCUGGAGCCUGUGGCCCUUUUCUUAGGCCCAUGUUGUGUGUGGAAAGGCAGUUUGGCUGGUGUGUACUGGAUAAGGAGCAUGCAUGGAACACAUACCUCUUCAUGGUGUCAGUUUUGAAGCUCAGACCUGUUUUACAUUAGGGCAUUUUCUUUCCUGUGCCCCCAAAGACAGCAGAGUUUUGAGAAGAAUUGUAUUUUCUUUAAAUUGAUAUACAGAAGGACCAGAUACCUGGUACACUGAAUGCAUAUUUUUAUUAUAGGGGAAUGAGGUAAAGAGGAUUUCAAUUGGAAUUCUGAACACAGUUUUAUAAACAGUUGUAAUGUGAAAUUAAAUAUGAUAAAAAACUACUUACAAUUUUUAGACAUGCCAGAGUUAUAAAUGCUUUUGUAGAGUACCCUGGGAAUUAAUCAGCAUAUAGACUUUUGUUUCUAUACCUAUGUGCUGUCUAGUCUUGACACAAGUUAGAGUUAUCUGGAAGGAGGGAGCCUCAAUUGAGAAAAUGCUACUCUGCCUUCUGGUAUCCAUCUGCUCCCAGAGCUGGGACUGUCUCAUAGCCCUUCAGACCUAAAUCCCGCCUGGAGGAAGCUGGUCUCCCAGAAGUGCUCUCACUCCUAAGAUCACAGGCUCACAGGUCCACAGGAGGGACAGGCUCCAGUCAGAGACAGCAAGACCAACUAACACCAGAGAUAUCCAGAUGGUGAGAGGCAAGCUUAAGAACCAAGCAACAGAAACCAAGACUACUUGGCAUCAGUUCUCCCUGUACAGCAAGUCCUUGAUACCCCAACACACCAGAAAAGCAAGAUUUGGAUUUAAAAUCACAUCUCAUGAUGAUGAUAGAGGACUUUAAGAAGGACAUAAAUAACUACCUUAAAGAAACACAGGACAACACAGGUAAACAAGUAGAAACCCUUAAAGUAGAAACACAAAAAUGCCUUAAAGAAUUACAGGAAAACACAACCAAACAGGUGAAGAAAUUGAACAAAACCAUCCAGGAUCUAAAAAUGGAAAACAGAAACAAUAAGGAAAUACCAAAGGGAGACAACCCUGGAGAUAGAAAACCUAGGGAAGAGGUCAGGAGUCAUAGACGCAAGCAUCACCAAUAGAAUACAAAAGAUGGAAGAGAGAAUCUCAGGAGCAGAAGAUACCAUAGAAAACAUUGACACAAUAGUCAAAGAAAAUGCAAAAGGGUCCUAACCCAAAACAUCCAGGAAAUUCAGGACACAGCGAGAAGACCAAAGUCUAUUAAGGAUAAUAAGUAUAUUGGGGUUGGGGAUUUAGCUCAGUGGUAGAGCGCUUGCCUAGCAAGCUUGCCCAGCGCAAGGCCCUGGGUUCGGUCCUCAGCUCCAAGAAAAAAAAGACAAUAAAUAUAGAAGAGAGAGAAGACUCCCAACUUAAAGGGCCAUUAAAUAUCUUCAACAAAAUUAUAGAAGAAAACUUUCCUAACCUAAAGAAAGAGAUGCCCAUGAACAUACAGGAAGCCUACAGAACUACAAAUAGAUUGGACCAGAAAAGAAAUUCCUCCUGUCACAUAAUAGUCAAAACACCAAAUGCACAAAACAAAGAAAGAAUAUUAAAAGCAGUAAGGGAAAAAUGUCAAGUGACAUAUAAAGGCAGAGCUAUAAAAAUUACACCAGACUUCUCACUAGAGACUAUGAAAGUUAGAAGAUACUGGGAAGCUGUCUGACCAUAAGAGAACAUAAAUGCCAGCCCAGGCUACUACAUCCAGCAAAACUCUCAAUUACCAUAGAUGGAGAAACCAAGAUAUUCCAUGACAAAACCAAAUUUACACAAUACCUUUCCACAAAUCCAGCGCUUCAAAGGAUAAUAGAUGGAGAAAAUGACACCCUAAGAAGGGGCUAUAAAGCAUCUUUUAAAUUAGUGAUUGCUAUAUGGCAGAAGGCCCAGACCAUUGUGGGUAGUGCCAUCCCUGGUCUGGUGGUCUUGAGUUCUAUAAGAAAGCAGGCUAAGCAAGCCAUGGGGAGCAAACCAAUAAGCAGCACCCCUCCAUGUCCUCUGCAUCAGUGCCUGCUCCCAGGUUCCUGCCCUGUUUGACUUCCUUCAGUGAUAAACAGUGAUGUGGUAGGGUAACAUUUUGAAGAAACUCUUUCUUCCCCACGUUGCUUUAGUCAUGGUGUUUUAUCACAGCAAUAGUAAUCCUAACUAAGACAACUGAUAUGUGUUAAAAACUUUAAAUAACAAACUGAUGUCGUGAUUUUAAAGAGAGAACCUGACAUUCAUUGGAGCUGACCAGCUUUCGCUAUGGGGAUAGCUGUUAGCAUGCUGUGGCAUCUGCAGCCUCAGAUGGGGUUCUCCCUCUGCCCUCUGAAGCAUGAGCCAGCUAUAUGUGUAGCACUGAACCUCUUGGUGGGUUUGUCCUACUAUCCCAACAACCUUAGUCAGAAAGCCUAGUUUCUCUGAAAUUGUCAUAGAGGAGUAACCACAGUCACCUUAAGGGAGUUUCUUAUUUCAGUGCUUUUCUAGUGUGUCUUUUAAUAGCACCUCUUGGGAGAAAUGAGGAAUAAAACCUUGGGUAAAUACCUUCUUACAUUUUGAUGAAAGGCUUUAGAAGUGCCUGUUAAUCAGUGUUUGCUAUAAUUCUUAGAAUUUAUAGAUUUGCGUUUCCUUUUGGUAAAGGUUUAAAGAGUAUAAUUCACUUACAUAGCCACUGAGGGGUUAACACACAUUGUGAUUACCUCUGAAUAGUUGUCCCAAGUAUUCCCUUUUACAAUGAAGCAAACAGCCAAUUAAAUGUUGCACAGUAAAAUGUCAAUUGAACAUUUAUUGCCAAAUAACACCUCAGGCACAGCAGGGCAUUAUGAAGAAACAUCAGGAGACAGCCCACAUAGCUUGGUACUACUGAACAAACAACCCAUUAAAAGUGCUUUUGGGUAAUGCUAGAGCAACUGAUCAGGCAACGAGUGACCAGGGGAGAGCUCAAAGAACUGAACGACCUUCUCAGCAUCUCUGUUCAGCAUUACUAAUAGUGAAUAGUAAAAUAAUUCUAUAUUCAAGCCUAAUGUCCAAAUUGCCAGCCAUAACAUUGUAUAUUUAAAAACUAUCUAUAUUUAAAUGGAUAGAGGUCCAGGGGUACCAUGUUUCUUGAGCCUUCCUUUGUGAUAUCACUACUGAAUGAACCACUGGUUCUAGGAAGAGGAGAGAGUUAUUGAAUUGGACUUUCAGUAUAAAUCUAUGGUAAUAAAUAAAUAAAUCUUUUUAUAGUAAAAUCUGUCAGCAAAAUAUGUUUUGACAAGUGUUUUAAUCAUAAGGUUGGUUUGGAGUUUCAUUUAAUUUAUUCACCUCUGUUUCCCAGUUCAUCUUUAUAUUCCUGUUCUCACAAUGGAAUACAACAGAGUUUAUUAUAAUUAGUGAUUAUAUUAUGCUAAUAAUAACAAUAAUAAUGACAGAAGACCAACUUCUAUUUAAUAUUUUUGCACUGUUUAAGUAUUGGUCUGGGUAUUGUAUUUUAUCAAACACCGAUGGCAAUAAGCAAGAUUCUAGUAUGACAAAGUGUUGAAAUUGUUUCUUAGAUUUAACAUUGGGAUUAUUUGCAGUUUUAUUUGUAAUGUCUUGUGUCGAUAUGUUUAGGAGAGGUAUUAUCUGUUUUAUUUUGAAUAGUAUCAUUUUAACUCACCAAAUUUGUUAUCAGUUUAGUAUUAUUUUGAGAAAAGCAGGAUUACAUAUGUGAGUAGAAAAGAGCUAUCAUUUAUAUUAUCAUUCUCACUCUAGGAAGUUACAUCAUCAGUCUCACUAGGAAGUUACAUCAUCAGUCUCACUCUAGGAAGUUACAUCAUCAGUCUCACUAGGAAGUUACAUCAUCAGUCUCACUAGGAAGUUACAUGAUCAGUCUCACUCUAGGAAGUUACAUCAUCAGUCUCACUCUAGGAAGUUACACCAUCAGUCUCACUCUAGGAAGUUACAUCAUCAUUCUCACUCUAGGAAGUUACAUCAUCAUUUUCACUCUAGGAAGUUACAUCAUCAGUCUCACUCUAGGAAGUUACAUCAUCAGUCUCACUAGGAAGUUACAUCAUCAGUCUCACUCUAGGAAGUUACAUCAUCAGUCUCACUCUAGGAAGUUACAUCAUCAGUCUCACUCUAGGAAGUUACAUCAUCAUUCUCACUCUAGGAAGUUACAUCAACAUUCUCACUCUAGGAAGUUACAUCAUCAGUCUCACUCUAGGAAGUUACAUCAUCAGUCUCACUCUAGGAAGUUAUGUAUUUUCUCAAUCUAGGAGGUUACACAUUAUUCUCACUCGGGAAGAACAAUUUUGGAAACAAUCCAAUCCACCCCAAACAUAAAAACUAAACUGUUUGUAUCAAGGAUGGGGCUCAGGAUCUCAGCCACUGAACUAUGUUACAGCCUUAGGGUGUAGCUAUUAUAAGCAAAGAGAUUAUGUUUGUCCUUAACUGUAAAACUUUGUAUUAAAGUUCAAAAUACUUUGGGAGAUAA